UUGCUUGCUUCGGCAGCACAUAUACUAAAAUUGGAGUGAUACAGAGUAGAUUAGCAUGGCCCCUGCACAAGGAUGACAUACAAAUACAUGAAGAGUUCCAUAUUUUG
ensembl:snRNA U6 U6 spliceosomal RNA